GGUUAAUUUUAGUAUAUUAAAGGCAAAAUUUCCAAGGCGUAGAGCGAAAAAAAUGGUCAAACAAUCAACUUAAUUGAAGGAACUUAAAACCGAAACGCAGCAACCUCAAUUCAAAGAGCUUGAAAUCGAAGUGGAGCAUCAAAUCAGUGCAAUUAGGGUAGUUCGUGAUGUUGACAUCGAGCGAUUGUUGAUGGAACUUCGUUUGGUUCGAUCGUGUUUCAGUGAGGAACAGCUCUGGAAGCCAAUGCUGCAGGUCUUCGAAGAAACCUUACCGAAUCUCUCAAUUGUAAAAGAAGAAGGGAAUGGGAAAUUCGAUGUGAAGUAGAAAGAGAGAGGGAGCAGAAUGUCCACGACCUGUGGUGGUGUAGGAAGAGAUUUGCACGCUUCUCUAUUCCAAAGGCUUUCGAUUGCUUUUCCUUCGAAAUGUCCUUCUUCGGUUCCUCAGUUUGGUGGUUUUGAAUACUCUAGCAAUACUGGUAGUGUUUUGUUUUCUCUUUCGAUUUAACUCAUUUCAUAUCUGAAUUAAAGUUUCUUAAAUUGAAUUAAAAAAAUGGAAAUGUGUGUUACGAAACAUACUAUU